GAUUAACGCUGGCGGCGUGCAUAACACAUGCAAGUCGAACGAUGAAACUCAUUAGAUUUCUUCGGAAUGAAAGUGACUGGAUUAGUGGCGAACGGGUGAGUAACGCGUGAGUAACCUGCCUUACACAAGGGGAUAGCCUCUGGAAACGGAGUAUAAUAUCCAACGACACCAGACAAUCGCAAGAUACUCUGGUCAAGAUGAUUAGUGGUGUAAGAUGGACGUGCGGCUGAUUAGCUAGUUGGUGAGCUAACAGCUCACAAAGGCUAUGACCAGUAGCCGGCAUGGGGGAGUGUCCCGGACCAUUGCGGCUGGGACACGUCCCGAACUCCUACGGGUGGCAGCAGUGUGGAAGCUGGCACAAUGAGGGAAUCCCGAAGGCAGCGGCGCCGCGAGAUUUAGAUAGCCUUCGGGUUGUAAUGUGUUUUUGUAUAGGCACAAAAUGACGGUACCUUACGAAAAAGCUCCGGCUAAUUACGUG
rnacentral:rRNA from 1 species